GAGGAGGAGGAGGAGGAGGGGCCGAGGAGGAGGAGGAGGACUUGGGCGUACCUGCCAUCUGGCAGCGAGGCCCCUCGAGGCUCCCGGAUCGUCCGAUACCUGUAGAGCACCGACCGGUCCUCCGACCUGAUGGGAAAAGAUCAUCAGCUAGUGGCAUACGUGCGCUGGAGUCGUAGCAAGAGGGAUCAAGCAUGCAUGGGCAGCAAUCGGCAAGUUUCUAAUGGUGUCGGUUCUUCCAGGAAGACUGCAAGCAUGGGCGAGCACACAUGCACGUGCAUUAGGGAGAUGCUCCUAAUUUGCAUGCAAGGUGAUUAAAGGUAGUGGCCGGAUUAAUUAACUAUGAAGGAAGCUCGUGCGUGCAAAUCUGAUUAGAAUAAAGAAAAGGCAAGAUUAAAGGAAAGGCUUGCAAGUACGAGCAAAGGGCAAAGCUUAUGAUUGGUUUCUAUAAUUGAAUAUGGGGAAAUAAUCACUGGCCAUGUGCACGAGGUGAUGUUUGAUCAGAAUAAAGAAAGUAAAGAUUGUGGCAUAAGUGCUGGUCCACGACACGUGUGAGAGGCCUGGUUAGUUGUGCACGCAAAGAUGAUGGCUAAAUCUGUCGCAUGGUUGUUUCUGCGUGGGCCGCCGCCAAAUCAAGUAAGCUUCAAUAGUAAGGAUUCUAUGGAAGGGAAAAUAGAAUCUAUGUAUCUUAAUAUUAGUUUGUUUAGAUAUUUAUUCUUUAGCAAGUUUGAUGUGCCGUAACCGGGUAGGCUGCCUAGGCUAUAAAUAUGUAUCCCGUCUAUUGUAAAAGAUUUAACACACAAUCAACAAAACGCAUCUACUUUUUCAAGUACCUUUAGUUUUCUGUCCUAGGAGUAGUAGUAAUAUAGCUUUAUGCGAGUUCUUUCGAGUUGAUCAAGGACGCCUCACAUUCGAGCGACUUGAUUUGCUGGUAAGUUUUCGUCUACCGAGUAAAUCUGAGCUUUUGCUUCCGGGCGCAUCGCUGUUGCUUCGUUUAGAUCUAUUCAAAAAUGAUCGAAUUAUAUUUAGGCUUUGACUUCCGGACGUAUCGCUGUUGUCUCGUCUAGAUUAAUUCACAAUUUAUAAAUAUCUGCUAGUUCUAUAGGUUUUACCUAUUGUUUUAGCUUUUAUCGAUAUCUAUUCAGCUUGUAAUACGUUUGAUCGGCUGUUUAUCGCAUUAUUUUAUUCAAAACAUCAUAUAGCCCAUUAAAUCUAUUUCAAGUGUUUGUCUGAUAGCGUUGUUUAGGUUACACAUCCGUAGCCUUUACAUUGCUCCUCGCGCACAUCGGCUGACCUAGCUAAUCGUCUAUUUCAAAUCGGCUGACCGAGCUGAUUUUGUCGCUUUCUGUAUUGGUAGCGCCUGCCGAUACGAACUGUGAGGGAUCUUCGGAACUCCAGCCGAUAUUCCCUCGAAUUUAACGUUUACCAUGUCUCCUUGUCAAUCAACAGGUCAGAUUGACUGGCACGCUUGGUUUACUUUUCGAAGCUUGGCGAACACUUGCCCUCGGAUUUCAGUGUGUUGAUUUUUGCGUCAACAGUUUCCUUUUGAUACAUUCAAAAUCACAAUUGAUACUAAUAUUAUCUUUCAAUAAUUUGCACAUAAACUUUGUGAUAGUUGUUCCAGGUGUUGCUCACAACCGCAUGGCCAAUGACAUCCUGGGACUCCUCUGCAAGCAACAGUACCCAGGCGCCAUGGAUAUUGCUGGGGUAUGUCAGCCGGCGUCUUCGUGGGAGCACUACAUCGCCAAACCGGAUGCACCAGAUGAGGAAGGCAGGGCAUUCGACAACAAGGCGCACCGGGUGUUGAGCGAACUAUAGGAUUUCUACAGAUGCAAGGAGGGAAUGAUGUCCAGGGCGAUCCAGUGGCUAGCAAAGCAUGUUACAAGCUGGUGGCGGAUAUGCUUUACGAGGCGCGCAUCCAGGCCGUCGUCAACUACAAGGCUAAGAUCGAAAAAGUGAGGAUCUACAAAGGACCUGCGAGAGACAUCAGACUCACCCGGGAACAGUACUUACGGGUGCCUCCGUGGUGGAUUGCCAAUGAUUAUCCAUGCUGGGAAAUGAUAGUGGACCGGUGGUGCUCGAAAGAAUGGCUGGAGAUGCACGAGGCUGCCCGGCAACGGCGUUUGAUGAUGCCAGGUGCAUCGCACCAUCAGGGCAACCGUAACCUCAAGGCGUACGCAGCUAGAUAUUCGGCGUCACAUGGUGGUGUGCCUUGCACCCAAAUCCAGGCAUACUGUUUGGCCCACAAAGGGAAGGUGAUGUCCGAUGUCACCUUCAACCCGCAGGAUCCGCCCGAAGCGUACAGCAACGCAAGCGUCCACAGCCGCCUCAGCGGGUACACCUCGAUGGCACAAGAAGUUCAUGAGCCGGAGUUUGAUGCGAUCAAUGAGCCCAUUGAUGGAGAAGUCGUCAUGAGGACGGGAGAAGGCAAGAAGCAUAGAUGGUAUUGGUUUGGCGAUAGCUUAGUCGACACGCGACUACUCCCACUCUCUCGCAAAUUCGAGCCAGGAGUACCAGCUCAAGCCCAGCCAUACGCCCACAGCUAGACACUACACAGGCUCAGAUUGAGACUGUCAAGGCCCAGAUGGAAGCAGCCUUUCAAGCACGGCAGGAGGCGGCAGAGAGGUGGCGGGCCGAGCGGGACGACAUGCAGCAAAAAUUGGAUCAAUCUCUAACAUUUAUGCAAAGCCUGGGCUCGGCGAUGGGUGUUUCGCCUCCACAAUUUCCUCCGGCCCCACUUGCUCGUCGGGCAGAAACUCCUCCUACCUCGGCGGCAUCCAAUGAUGGGCCAGUGAAUCCUGACUUCUCGCCUCCGGUGCCGCAGCCUCAGCAGUCUCUGCAGUUUGUGUGGCCACCGCCUCAAUGGGUGGCUUGGAUUCAGCAGCAGCAGCAACCGCAUCAGCCAUCACCACCGCAGCAUGGUUGGUCGCAGAUGCCUACAUGGCCGCCCCCGCCGAUGUGGCCACAGCACCCGCCACCGCCGCCGCCGCCGUCGGCCCCGUGCGUUGUAUGGACUUCAUUUCUAGGGACAAGCUUUGCACUUGAACUUGUAUGGACUUUGCCGUAUGAACUUGUAUGGACUUGACUUGAACUUGUGGUUGUUGAUGAACGAUACUAGAGUUUAUUUGUAUUUGUGCAUUUUUGGAUAAUAUUGAAUUCCUCCGAUGCUUAUUUGGAAUGCAUGUGAUGAUUAUUAUGAUAUA